rnacentral:rRNA from 1 species
UACGAAGGGUGCAAGCGUUAAUCGGAAUUACUGGGCGUAAAGGGUGCGUAGGCGGUUGUUUAAGCCUGUCGUGAAAUCCCCGGGCUCAACCUGGGAAUGGCGAUGGAUACUGGGCAGCUAGAGUGUGUCAGAGGAUGGUGGAAUUCCCGGUGUAGCGGUGAAAUGCGUAGAGAUCGGGAGGAACAUCAGUGGCGAAGGCGGCCAUCUGGGACAACACUGACGCUGAAGCACGAAAGCGUGGGGAGCAAACAGG